GAUGAAGAACGUAGCGAAAUGCGAUAAUUAAUGUGAAUUGCAGAAUUCAGUGAAUCAUCGAGUCUUUGAACGCACAUUGCGCCCCCUGGUAUUCCGGGGGGCAUGCCUGUCCGAGCGUCAUUGCUGCCCUCAAGCACGGCUUGUGUGUUGGGCUUCCGUCCCUGGCAACGGGGACGGGCCCAAAAGGCAGUGGCGGCACCAUGUCUGGUCCUCGAGCGUAUGGGGCUUUGUCACCCGCUCCCGUAGGUCCAGCUGGCAGCUAGCCUCGCAACCAAUCUUUUUAACCAGGUUGACCUCGGAUCAGGUAGGGAUACCCGCUGAACUUAAGCAUAUCAAUAGCGGAGGA
rnacentral:misc_RNA from 1 species